rnacentral:pre_miRNA from 1 species
CGAGUCUUUCCACAGCCUCUACACAUGUCGGCCUUUCAUAGCGCAUGUGCAUAAGCUGUGGGAGUACUCU